ACGGCUCAGUAACACGUAGUCAACAUGCCCAGGGGACGUGGAUAACCUCGGGAAACUGAGGAUAAACCGCGAUAGGUCACUACUUCUGGAAUGGGUAAUGACCCAAACCUAUAUGGCCCCUGGAUUGGACUGCGGCCGAUCAGGCUGUUGGUGAGGUAGUGGCCCACCAAACCUGUAACCGGUACGGGCUCUGAGAGGAGGAGCCCGGAGAUGGGCACUGAGACAAGGGCCCAGGCCCUAUGGGGCGCAGCAGGCGCGAAACCUCUGCAAUAGGCGAAAGCUUGACAGGGUUACUCUGAGUGAUUUCCGUUAAGGAGAUCUUUUGGCACCUCUAAAAAUGGUGCAGAAUAAGGGGUGGGCAAGUCUGGUGUCAGCCGCCGCGGUAAUACCAGCACCCCGAGUGGUCGGGACGUUUAUUGGGCCUAAAGCAUCCGUAGCCGGUUCUACAAGUCUUCCGUUAAAUCCACCUGCUCAACAGAUGGGCUGCGGAAGAUACUAUGGAGCUAGGAGGCGGGAGAGGCAAGCGGUACUCGAUGGGUAGGGGUAAAAUCCGUUGAUCCAUUGAAGACCACCAGUGGCGAAGCGGCUUGCCAGAACGCGCUCGACGGUGAGGGAUGAAAGCUGGGGGAGCAAACCGGAUUAGAUACCCGGGUAGUCCCAGCUGUAAACGAUGCAGACUCGGUGAUGAGUUGGCUUUAUGCCAACUCAGUGCCGCACGGAAGCCGUUAAGUUUGCCGCCUGGGGAGUACGGUCGCAAGACUGAAACUUAAAGGAAUUGGCGGGGGAGCACCACAAGGGGUGAAGCCUGCGGUUCAAUUGGAGUCAACGCCGGAAAUCUUACCGGGGGGCGACAGCAGAAUGAAGUCAAGCUGAGACUUUACAGACAGCUGAGGGGAGGUGCAUGCGUCGCAGCUCGUGCGUGGAGGUGUCCUGUUAGUCAGGUACGAGCGAGACCCCUGCUUCUAGUGCUACAUUAUUCCUCAGGGAGUAUUGGAGCUUAUAUAAAGGAACUUGCCGUC
rnacentral:rRNA from 1 species